AGCCGACUAACAUGCUACCAGAGCCUGUCCACCCUUCUUCAAAUAAUGGUGGCCACAGAGUGCAUCUGCUCUGGGGGACCCAUCGCUCAUAUACCCUCCCAUAAGAGCAGGAAAGGGGAUUCAUAAAGACGUUCUUCUGAUGGGGAAUGCUCUACGAGGCCGCCUUCACAUGGUGAGUAGUGACCGUGACACCUCUGCAGCGUCCCUGGUCACUUGUAGCCCCUGAAAGGGUCAUCGGGAGCAGAUCACUUCUUUUCUUCAGGGCUGGAGAAAGUACCUCCGUGCAUUUUCCAGUGUGGAAGAUGAUCAAAGUAUGACAUUUCUUCUACCCCAGAGGCUGGCAUUUCUGCAGGCACAAAUGAGCUUGGUUUUCAAGCACUGCUCUUUGAACACAAGGAAUUCCUUUAAUGAUCACGCCGGACUAUAUAGACUUUGGAAUCAGACUCUUUGAAUUCCAGCUCUGCCAUUUACCAACUUUGACACUUUGGGUUUCCUGUUUGAAGGAGGAUUGGUGACUUCCCUUCCUUCAGACAAGCAAUGAUAACACAGUUGUGUUCCCUUGUGUGAGUCUGGGGUGACGUUGGCUCCUUGAGAAAUGAAAACUUUAUCAUAAGAAUCUGUGAAAAUGGGGAAAAUGGGAAAAGGAGGACAGAUUCAAAAUUGGAGGAAAACAGGAAAAUCUCUCUUCAUCUUUUCUAAUUGUUCUUUUAAUGAAAUCAGUACUGCCCUUUGGCAUUAAUGAUCGUAUGCGAAAGACAACGUCUCAUUCUGUCACCCAGGCUGGAGUGCAGUGGCACAAUUAUAGCUCACUGCAGCCUCAAACACCUGGGCUCAAGCAAUCCUUCCACCUCUGCCUCCUGAGUAAUUGGGACUACAGGGUUUUGGAAAUCUGGAUUGUAGCAGGGCAUUGUAAGUUAAAAAAUCAUCUUCCCAUUCUGUUCUUUGCAAAGAUAUUUCUGUUCCUUAAAUUUGUUGAGGGUAAGAGAUUGCAGAUUGCUUCUGUGGACUUCUUGAAGGUGGAUCUGCCUGUUGGUGGAGAACCCUAGACUGCAUGCAGCCAUGCACAUGAUCUGGAGACACAGCAGGUUGUACCAGAAGCAGGGCUGAGGAGGCCUUAGGAAACUUAAAAUCAUGGCGGAAGGCAAAGGGGAAACAGGUCAUCCUCAGCAUUUAUACUCUCUCUCCUUUUGUGCCCCCAUGGACCAAGUUAAGAAGGUGUAGGCUUCAAAUCUUAAGAUCGGUCACCACAAAAUUCAAAAAGACAAGGUCUUUGUCUGUUGCUCAGGAUGGAGUGUAGUGGUGCCAUAGCACACUGUAAUCUUGAAUUUCUGGACUACUGGCAUACACCACCAUGCUUAGGUUCGGGCCACAACAUCCGUGACUUUACCGGUUUUGGUCUCUUCCUUGUAACUUUCGGCUCCAGGAUGCUGCGCAGCUCCUCUCUGCACUAUCUAUCAGAACGUUGCUCUGCGUGCUUGAAAGUUUCGCCAAACAGAAGUACACAAAAACAAACAGAGGCGAAACACAAAUCCCCUCAGCCCUGGAGGAAAAGGCCUUGAAGCUCUUCCAGUGCAGAGGCCACGCAGAGGACAUGCUCCUACCUGUGCACAUCGGCCACGCCUGGGGUGCCUCCUGGAGUCCAGGCUGCUGGCGAUGGAAUCCAUCAUGUUGCUGAUGUCACUACUCUCAACUCCUGAUGGCAUCAGAACACAGGCAGCAUCAAGAUCAGGCUCAAGAUGCAGGAUUUUAUCAUCCAAAUCAGGCCCACAUAUGGAUGAAACCCUUCAGGUAUUCUGCACAUCUCUCAGGAAACCCAGAUGAAAUUGAGUGCCUGCUGCCCACAUCAGCAACCCAGACAUCCCACUUGAUUCUGCUUCUGGAGCCUAAGAUGGGAAAAUGGCAGGUGUCGCAGGUUGCAGGGGAAGGUCGGAGACCAGUUGAGGGCCCCGGAGUCUGUCUGGAAAGAGUUUUCCAUCCAGCCCGUCUCGGUUUCCGCAUCCGUGUGAGUCCUUUAUGACGUCGGGAAUGCCAAGGUCUGAGUCCUUUAUGAUGUUCAGGGUGCCCCGGUCUCACCCCGGGAGCCUCCUCGCUCCGGCCUGCUCCUGGCUACCCGGUGGGCGGCUCUGGCCCCAGCGACCCGCUACUGUUUCUCCAUGCGCUGCCACUUCGCAAAGGCACAUCUCUAGGUCAGUGGUCAGCUGCAGCCAGGGCGCUGCAACUCGCUCCAGGACUCGGGAAUCAGGGCCUUGGUGGGCCUCGCAGAGUGCUGGGUGUGUCGCCUGCGGGCUCCUCUUUUGGAGAAAGGAGGGAGGGAAAGGCCUUGUGAGACGACUCCAGGAGCGACCAGCGACCCCCACAAGGCCCAAGUCCUCCCAGCGCACUCAGAAACAGUCACUUAAAUGGCAAUAAGGUUGAGAAAGACUCUCCCGUGCCCCCGUGCUGGUGUAGUGGCUGUGAUUCAGUCCUUUCACCACCGCAUCCCGGGUUCGAUUACCGGUCAGGGAGUUGUUUUGCACUGACUGCCCACCCGCAGUAAUCUUUCUUUACUCCGCUGUCAGCCGGCCUGCUCCAAGAGCCAGAGGCAGAAGAGUCUCCCUGCAAGGUGCAAACCCUGGCGAAGGAGGGCAAGUCCUGGUGGACGGCCUCUCAUGACACACCCUCUUAUUUAUCUCCGUGUCCACCAUUCGCAGAAGGGGCUUUAGAGAGCGACUGAGCGUCUCGCUCAGGUGUACACCACCGUGCAGAGAUGGCAGCUCUCCUGGAGGUGUACCCAAGAAGCCCACCAUCUUUGCCGCCUCCGCCAUCCCAGAGGCGCCGAUUGGGCUGAGCUGCAAAUAACUAAGAGAGAGAGAGGCCAAGCCAAGUCGUGGCGUUUGUGUGCGGCACACGUCGUCAGCUGACACAGGCGGUCAGCUGAGCCUCCUCACCUCAGUUCGCAGCUAACAUGCUUCUUAGGCCUUCGGAAGAGGCGACAGGAGGCGAUGGCCGCGAGGUUGGGAGGGGGGUGAGCGGCGGGUGAGGUCCUCCAGGACCGCCCAUUUAUUGACUGGGUGGUACAGGAGGGCGAUGUUCGCUUACCCAACAACGACAGCAGGUGGAGUAGGCACUAAUGGAAAACUGUGGCCGGUGCCCUAAGCAGAAGGCAGGUGUAAAAAUCACUAGGACAUCAAAGGGAUAGUACCACAGUCAAAUCCCGCAAUGUCUGUCUACACUCUACCAAGCAAUUGUGCACCCUCCCCCUUUUCCAUUCAGUACUCCCAAGAAGGGUUGGGACGAACCCUGUGUCCACUGUAAAGCUCAGGGGAGAGCGGGAGCGAGGGAGGUGAAGUGCACAGACUGGGCAGAGGCGGCGGGCAGAACUGCGGGGGUGAGAGGGCGCGGUGGCUGCGGGGCGGGAGCCUCUGCUGAAAGGAGGCCUGGGUUGUCCUGUGGGUGACUGUUGGUGGAAUCUUUGGCAGCGAGUGGUUGGAAGAAUGGCGACGGGCGAGCAGAGGGGAAGGUGGUGACCCUGAGCGUCUGGCUAGGGGAGAGGAGGCUGUACUGACACUCGUCUCCUCUUACCUGGCGAGGGACAGACCGUGGUCAAGAAGGGAGCUCUCCCUGGUUGAGGCUAGUCCACCACACUCCAGCUGCUCUGACCCCUGCGAUUUCCCUACACGCGGGGCGCUUGUCUGCGGUGGUGUUUGCGCUACCCGGGGGCUGGGUUCACGCAGGCUCCUGACAGUCCUUGGCUCACCGCCCCCGACGCGGAUAUCGCCGCUAGAGACCCUUCCGCCACCCUCCUAGGGAUCUUGAGGGCCUUCCUUGUUGUUCCGACUGAAGCUCACGAACAGACAGAUGUGAGCUCUCUGUCUUUUACACGUUGAAUUUGGCUAUUGGCAAAAAAAGCCCUGACCCAGAGCUUGGGACUCCUCCCGGCCUGCACACGACUUCCCGACUCUUGCCUCCUAGCGCGGCUCUUGGCUAGCGGGCGGGCAGCCUCCACCCAGCGUAGAACCGCGGCAGCCGCAGCCCCCGCAGGCUGGCGGUCAGACACUAGCAGGAAAAGGGACACAAGGCCUGCGUGGUGGGAAAGCAUGGGAGACGUCGCUUUCCCACCAGGCGAGAAGGUCUCCCUACAGUCUUUGGACAGAAGAUGGAGGGAGGCACCCCUUCCAGGAGCAAGGCGGCUGCUCCUGAGGCCUGGCUCCGCACGGAGGCUCCUGGGUCCCGCGCGCCCUCUCCCUACCGGUUAUAGCCAGAGCUGCUUCACACAUCUCAGCCGGCUUCCUCUUCCGCCUCUGCCACCUCUUCCUCCCCAGCUCGUGGGAAAGACCUAGCCUCCUCUCCAACACUUGGAGAGGGAGUUGGAUGAACGUCUCCUAACCCCAGUAGGACAGAGAUCCUGAGGUAGGAGGGGACCCCUUGCCUUGCUGCUUCUUUUGGCACCGCUGACCCGGGCCCAGGACUCCUCGCUCCUCCUGGAAGGCCUGGGUCGUGUAGCCCACAGAGGUGGCCACGUGGGCAUCUCCCCCACUGCUCCUCAUAGAACCGGAGGCAUUAUCCUGCCGGGCCCACUCUUACCCAUGAAAGAAACUUGGGAAAUGCUCCCGGGGAAGCCGGGGAUCUGGGCGCUCGACCACUUCGGUGUGAAUCUUCCGUCCGCUCAUCCUUCCUUCGGAGGGUCUUGGGGAGAGGAGAAAUGCUCAAGGACGAUGCGCUUUGCAGCGUCUCAAGGGAAACUAGAUCUCAACGGAUACCAGAAGUCUGGAGCGUCUUCCUGGAGGAAGGCGGCCCGAGGCCUGCGGUUGCAGGGAGGCUUGCGGAGCACAGCGCCCUCUCUCAGCCUGAGCUAUCCAGUGGCUUCCAGCAUCCCAGCUGGCCGACUCCACUUCCUCUCUCUUCCUCCUACUGCGGGUCUUCUUCUUCUCUUUGGGGACCGAAUCUCGCUCUGUCGCCCAGGCUGGAGUGCAGUGGCGCGAUCUCGGCUUACUGCAACCUCCGCCUCCCGGGUUGAAGCGAUUCUCCUGCCUCAGCCUCCCGAAUAGCUGGGACUACAGGCGCGUGCCACCACGCCCGGCUAAUUUUUUGUAUUUUUAGUUGAGACGGGGUUUCACCCUGUUAGCCAGGAUGGUCUCGAUCUCCUGGCCUCUUGAUCCGCCCGCCUCGGCCUCCCAAAGUGCUGGGAUUACAGGCGUGAGCCUCCGCGCCCGGCCUACUGCGGCUCUUCUAUCCUGGUGUUCUUUGAAUGCCUAUCUUCCUUUUGUGCCACAGAACCUCUCACGCCCGCCACAGGUUGCUCAUUUCCUUGGUUGUUCUGAACUUUAAAUAAGUUAAUGUAUGUAAGAGUGCCAUAAAUGCUCAGUAAUUGACAUCUGUUAUUUUCAUCAGUAACAUCAUCUGAAUCAUCUGUAUUGUCUAUUUUUAACAACUGCAUUUUUCAUUGUCCAAAUAAAGUCACAUACAUUUGAACAUUAUAUAAUGAUUGAAUAAUAAAAUUAUUCUGCUAUUUUACAAUAAAAA
rnacentral:lncRNA from 1 species